UCCAAUGGGCGGGCCUUGGUAGGGGAGCCGCAAGGCUCGCCGGCAUGUUUCUGACCCGGUCUGUCAACCCUACUUCGUGCCCGCUCACCCAC
rfam:Burkholderia fungorum strain ATCC BAA-463 chromosome 2, complete sequence.